AACGAACGCUGGCGGCGUGCUUAAUACAUGCAAGUCGAACGUGAUGUGUAGCAAUACACUGAAAGUGGCGAACGGGUGAGUAACGCGUAAGUAAUCUGCCCUGGUAUCUGGGAUAACCCACCGAAAGGUGUGCUAAUACGGGAUACGCUGAUUUAUCAGGAAAGGUGGCCUCUUCAUGAAAAGUCUACUGUACCAGGAGGAGCUUGCGUACCAUUAGCUAGUUGGUAGGGUAAUGGCCUACCAAGGCGACGAUGGUUAGCGGGUCUGAGAGGAUGAUCCGCCACACUGGAACUGAAACACGGACCAGACUCCUACGGGUGGCUG
rnacentral:rRNA from 1 species